rnacentral:rRNA from 1 species
UACGUAGGGUGCAAGCGUUGUCCGGAAUUAUUGGGCGUAAAGAGCUCGUAGGCGGUCUGUCGCGUCGGCUGUGAAAACCGGAGGCUCAACCUCCGGCCUGCAGUCGAUACGGGCAGACUAGAGUUCGGUAGGGGAGACUGGAAUUCCUGGUGUAGCGGUGAAAUGCGCAGAUAUCAGGAGGAACACCGGUGGCGAAGGCGGGUCUCUGGGCCGAAACUGACGCUGAGGAGCGAAAGCAUGGGGAGCAAACAGG